rnacentral:lncRNA from 1 species
CAGGAUCACAUGUCGAGUAAAAGAUAAAUAUUGGAGUUAAUCGAAGAUGCAGAUUUUACAUCCCUGAAGUUACAGUGAAGCUAAUUGAAGUUUAGUAGAGAAGAUCGAGGGUACAAAUCUCUUCUCUUUAAAUCUCCGAAGUUGCAGUGGAGUGAAUCAAAGCAACAAUUCCUGUGCCCCUGAACAUGCAAUGGGAUGAAACGAGGCUAUUAGAAGAAAAGAAGUACCAAGAAGUUAAGAUUCAGCGAGACUAAGCAAAAUUGGCCAUUUUUGAGUCUUUGUUCCAUUCUCAUUACACGACAAUGAGCAAAGAGGGGCAGCUGUAAUGGCCAAUUUUUGGCCCAGACAAAUAAAAAAACAAAACCCAAAACAAUAAAAAAGAGCCCAAAUAACAGCCCACUAAUCUUAAGAAUUUUCAGCAGCCAACCCUAGCCCCAAGCCUCCAACCGCUGCUCCCCACGUGCUCGGGCAGCACGUUCAACGCUCGGCCACCACACCCCGCGCAUGCCCUCCUCCUUAAUGUGCCUGACACUCCCAUAACCUGCAAACAUUUGGAAAAGAGGAAAAAAUGGCAGCAAGAAGCACAAGCAGUAGCAGAGAAUAAAACAAACAAUAUUUUAAUAUGGGAAUCGGCUAUAAAGCCGAAAUGAAACUGAUUGUAAAGGGGGGGAUCCAAAAAAAUUGUAUCACUCGCAUAUUUUUCAAGGAAUCAAACAAAAAACACACAAAAGGUUGAUCUCCGAUUUUGUUCUAUUUAUUUUCGUAUUUUCGUUUUCUUGCUUCUUUAAUAUUUCUUUUAUUUUUUUAUACAAAUCUAUUAAACAAAGAUACAAAAAAAAUAAAAGGAAAGAGGAAGGAUUCUCACCAGAUCCGGCCCCGUCGUCGCGUUGUCGGAGCCCUCCCCUCCGUUUGGCGUGGUUGAGUCUAAAAAAGGGGUUGAACCAUUGUCUUUCGUUUUUGGAACGAGCCUCCAACAAGUAAAAAAGAGGGGGGGAGAGGGGGAGAGAGCAGGGAAGCUAUCUGUUCUUUUUGUUUAAAAUUGG